UACGUAGGGUGCGAGCGUUAAUCGGAAUUACUGGGCGUAAAGCGUGCGUAGACGGUUAUUUAAGUCGGGUGUGAAAGCCCCGGGCUCAACCUGGGAACUGCAGUCGAUACUGGCGGACUAGAGUACGGUAGAGGGUGGCGGAACUCCGGGUGUAGCGGUGAAAUGCGUAGAUAUCCGGAAGAACACCGAUGGCGAAGGCAACCACCUGGGCCUGUACUGACGCUGAGGUACGAAAGCGUGGGGAGCAAACAGG
rnacentral:rRNA from 1 species